AUUGAACGCUGGCGGCAUGCUUUACACAUGCAAGUCGAACGGCAGCACGGGCUUCGGCCUGGUGGCGAGUGGCGAACGGGUGAGUAAUAUAUCGGAACGUACCCAGACGUGGGGGAUAACGUAGCGAAAGUUACGCUAAUACCGCAUACGAUCUAUGGAUGAAAGCAGGGGACCGCAAGGCCUUGUGCUCCUGGAGCGGCCGAUAUCUGAUUAGCUAGUUGGUGAGGUAAAGGCUCACCAAGGCGACGAUCCGUAGCUGGUCUGAGAGGACGACCAGCCACACUGGAACUGAGACACGGUCCAGACUCCUACGGGAGGCAGCAGUGGGGAAUUUUGGACAAUGGGCGCAAGCCUGAUCCAGCAAUGCCGCGUGAGUGAAGAAGGCCUUCGGGUUGUAAAGCUCUUUUGUCAGGGAAGAAACGGUAGAGGCUAAUAUCCUUUGCUAAUGACGGUACCUGAAGAAUAAGCACCGGCUAACUACGUG
rnacentral:rRNA from 1 species